rnacentral:rRNA from 1 species
GGGUUGUGAGGUUAAGCGACUAAGCGUACACGGUGGAUGCCCUGGCAGUCAGAGGCGAUGAAGGACGUGCUAAUCUGCGAUAAGCGUCGGUAAGGUGAUAUGAACCGUUAUAACCGGCGAUUUCCGAAUGGGGAAACCCAGUGUGAUUCGUCACACUAUCAUUAACUGAAUCCAUAGG